GAUGAAGAACGCAGCGAAAUGCGAUAAGUAAUGUGAAUUGCAGAAUUCCGUGAAUCAUCGAAUCUUUGAACGCAUAUUGCGCCCCCUGGUAUUCCGGGGGGCAUGCCUGUCCGAGCGUCAUUGCUGCCCUCAAGCACGGCUUGUGUGUUGGGCCUCCGUCCUCCUCCCGGGGGACGGGCCCGAAAGGCAGCGGCGGCACCGCGUCCGGUCCUCGAGCGUAUGGGGCUUCGUCACCCGCUCUUGUAGGCCCGGCCGGCGCUUGCCGACACAUCAAUCUUUUUUCCAGGUUGACCUCGGAUCAGGUAGGGAUACCCGCUGAACUUAAGCAUAUCAAUAAGCGGAGGA
rnacentral:misc_RNA from 1 species